rnacentral:rRNA from 1 species
AACAGCUAGAGUUUGAUCCUGGCUCAGGAUGAACGCUGGCGGCGUGCAUAACACAUUCAAGUCGAACGGAGAGGAGAGCUUCGGCUCUCUGAUCAGUGGCGGACGGGUGAGUAACGCGUGAGCAACCUGCCUUUAUGAGGGGAAUAACGUUUGGAAACGAACGCUAAUACCGCAUGACACAUAUUUGCCGCAUGACAGAUAUGUCAAAGAUUUAUCGCAUAAAGAUGGGCUCGCGUCCGAUUAGAUAGUUGGUGAGGUAACGGCCCACCAAGUCAACGAUCGGUAGCCGGACUGAGAGGUCGAACGGCCACAUUGGAACUGAGAACGGUCCAGACUCCUACGGGAGGCAGCAGUGGGGAAUAUUGGGCAAUGGGCGCAAGCCUGACCCAGCGACGCCGCGUGAAGGAAGACGGUCUUCGGAUUGUAAACUUUAGUACUCAGGGACGAAACAAAUGACGGUACCUGAGGUUAAGCCACGGCUAACUACGUGCC